AACGAACGCUGGCGGCAUGCCUAACACAUGCAAGUCGAACGAAACCUUCGGGUCUAGUGGCGCACGGCGGCGGAAGGCGUGGGAACCUGCCCUUGGGUUCGGAAUACCUCCCCGAAGGGGGUCCUAAUACCGGAUAAUGUCUUCGGACCAAAGAUUUAUCGCCUUUGGGUGGGCCCGCGUUGGAUUCGCUGGUUGGUAGGGUAAUAGCCUACCAUGGCGCGGAUCCAUAGCUGGUCUGAGAGGAUGCUCAGCCACGCUUGGACUGCGACCCGGCCCAGACUGCUACGCGAGGGAGCAGUGUGUUACAUUGUACACUGGGCGAAAGCCUGAUCCAGCAAUGCCGCGGAAGUGAUGAAUGCCUUAGUGUUCUAAAGCCCUUUUACCCGGGAUGAUAGUGACAGUACCGGGAGAAUAAGCUCCGGCUAACUCCGUG
rnacentral:rRNA from 1 species